rnacentral:rRNA from 1 species
CGUGAUUUGGGCUAUAUUACGGUUCGAAAAUUAUAUGUUCGGACAUUUUUUCGAAUAUUUUGUAUCUAUCAAAGCUCUUAUAAACAAGAUAGGAUAUUCCUACAUAGUUGGUGGGACCCACGGCCAAUGGAUAAUAAAGUCUUCAAAAAAAAAUAGAUACGAUUGCAUUGCAUGUAGUAACAUAUGCGAUCAUAUCAGCAUUAAUGCACCGUAUCCCAUCAGAACUCUAAAGUUAAGCGUUCUGGGCGAGAGUAGUACUAGGAUGGGUGACCUCCCGGAAUGUCCACGUGUUGCAUCCCUCUUUUUCCAGUUUUUCUCUUUUUUUUUGUUAAAAAUGUAUGACUCUAUAACUUUUAGACCGUGAGGCCAAACUUAGCAUGCCAUACCUUUUCGGAAAGUCCAAAGAGAGCACUCCGAUGAAUGAGGAAGGAAAAUGAAUUCUUCUAUUGUUUUUUUUUCUACCCCAAAUUUGACCUUACGUACUUUUCGGAAUUACUGU